GACGGAGGGUGCAAGCGUUGCUCGGAAUCACUGGGCGUAAAGGGUGCGUAGGCGGUCUCGCAAGUCUGGCGUGAAAGCCCAAGGCUCAGCCUUGGAAGUGCGCUCGAAACGGCGAGGCUGGAGUGCCGGAGGGGAGAGUGGAAUUCCCGGUGUAGCGGUGAAAUGCGCAGAUAUCGGGAAGAACACCCGUGGCGAAGGCGGCUCUCUGGGACGGUACUGACGCUGAGACGCGAAAGCGUGGGGAGCGAACAGG
rnacentral:rRNA from 1 species